AGAUUGAGCUGUGGGGAAGCUGCAGAGAAGGCUGCCGGGCACAGCCCCCCCAAAAUGGGGCUCCCCCGAUUGGGCUCCCGCAGAGGAUGGGGCAAUUGCAGCCCCCCUGUCAUUCCCCGCAGAGGAUGGGGUAAUUGCAGCCCCCCUGUCAUUCCUGUGAGCUUCGGUAAGUCUGGGGAAGGGUGUCCUGAGUGUCCCUGUCUCCAAGCAAGCUGUGCCUUGUCCGGAAGCCCUGCCAGGGCACAGCUCCAUUCCCCCUCCCACGCUCACCAGAGGGAGGCAGAGCCACCACAGUGCGGGUCAGGCUGGAAAGGGGCAGGUGGGGCCUGCAGCCACCGCAGGGGGAAGGACAGGAAAGGGGCAGGUGGGGCCUGCAGCCACAGCAGGGGGAAGGACAGGAGGCAAAGCCUCUCCACCAGCCCUGGGCCCAGCCUGCCCAGGAGAAGCUUCCGAGAGGCACCGGGGCUCUUGUUUGCCUGGAAAGCUGCAGCCGUCGGGGAGGGGAGGUGACCCAGCUCCAGCAGCACUGCAAAGAGAAGGGGCACGUAAUGGCCCCCAGGGGUCGGCUGCUGCCUUUUGCUGCCCGCAGGGAACUGUGGUGUGGGUUGGGAGCUCCUGCUGGGGCAGGGGCUUCAUCUUCCAAGAGGCAAAGCUGCAGCAUCUUCCUCCCCAGGCACUGUCUCCGUGCAGGAAGGGGAGUGGCCGAGGAGCCCGGGCUGGGACACGGCCCCAACAAGAGCAGCCCAGGGCACAGUGACACGGGAGGAGGAGCCCAGGUGAGGAGCACGGCCCCAGCGCGGCACCGAGAGAGGCUGGCACAGGACGAGACAGAGGAGAUGCUGCUGCACCACGUCCCCAGGAGAGCCCCUGCCUCCCUUCUGCUCUCAGGGAUGGGAGUGGGAGACACCUCCACGCAGAGAGUGGCACUUGGCACGGCUUCAGUCCCCCGUGGAAGAGGCUGGGCUCCCCACUGCUCAGAGCUCCUGGUUAGGGACAUCCACGCCUGCGCCUGGCUCGGAGUCCAGGGUGCUCUAAUUCCGGAUCCAGCCACGAGAUGUUCCUGCUGCGGCUGCAGGUGUUUCCCAGCCCAGCUUGCUGAACCUCCAGCUCUGACUGUGGCACGUUCUUCAUUCCAGCUCUGGCUCUGAGAUGCUCCACUCGAUGGCUGCUCCAGUUCCUUCCAGCUCUGGCUGAAUAACUGGUGUCUCUUGUGUAAUCUGUGUCUGUGCUCUGUCGUUUGUGUCCACCUGUGUUACCUUUGUCACACCUCGAUGCUUUAUCAGCAUCCUUCCAAGCCGUGGUAGCCGGGCUGUACUCACGACAGGUCCCCACAGCCAAUACCUGUCUAUGGAGUGCUUGGGGCUCGAUCGCUAAUUGGGCUCGAUUGCCAAUGUCCAGAGCAAUGGACCCUAGCCAAUGCCUGCUGAUCCAUUGAACCAGGAUCCAUUGCCAACACCUGUCAAUCCAUCGCUCUGGGAUCCAUUGCCAAUGCCUGCCGGGGGGGGGGGGGGGGGGGGGGGGGGGGGGGGGGGGGGGGGGGGGGGGGGGGGGGGGGGGGGGGGGGGGGGGGGGGGGGGGGGAAUCGAUCGCCCUGGGAUCCAUUGCCAAUGCCUGUCAAUCCAUCGCUCUGGGAUCCAUUGCCAAUGCCUGCUGAACCAUUGCUCUGGGAUCCAUUGCCAAUGCCUGUCAAUCCAUUGCUCUGGGGUCCAUUGCCAAUGCCUGCCGAUCGAUCGCUCUGGGAUCCAUUGCCAAUGCUUGUCAAUCCAUUUCUCUGGAAUCCAUUGCUAAUGCCGGCCAAUUCAUCGCUCUGGGUUCCAUUGCCAAUGCCUGUCAAUCCAUUGCUCUGGGGUCCAUUGCCAAUGCCUGCCGAUCCAUCGCUCUGGGAUCCAUUGUCAAUGCCUGCCGAUCCAUCGCUCCGGGGUCCAUUGCCAAUGCCUGUCAAUCCAUCGCUCUGGGG
rnacentral:lncRNA from 12 species